UACUACAACGUACCACCCUGAACGUGCCCCAUCUGAUCUGGGAAGCUUAGCAGAGUCAGGACUCGUUUGUACUUGGAUGGGAGCGAGUAAACAUCAGAGGGCUUGUAGAGU
rnacentral:rRNA from 1 species